rnacentral:rRNA from 1 species
GAUGAACGCUGGCGGUAUGCCUUACACAUGCAAGUCGUACGAGAGUUUUUAACUCAAGUGGCGGACGGGUGAGUAACACGUAAGAAUUUGCCUUUAGGAGGGGGACAACAACUGGAAACGGUUGCUAAUACCCCAUAUGCUUUCGAGUGAAAUGGAUUUAUCCGCCUAGAGAGAAGCUUGCGGCUGAUUAGCUUGUUGGUGAGGUAAUGGCUCACCAAGGCGACGAUCAGUAUCUGGUUUGAGAGGAUGAUCAGACACACUGGAACUGAGACACGGUCCAGACUCCUACGGGAGGCAGCAGUGGGGAAUUUUCCGCAAUGGGCGAAAGCCUGACGGAGCAAUACCGCGUGAGGGAUGACGGCCUAUGGGUUGUAAACCUCUUUUUUCAGGGA